UGAGCAUGGCUCUGCGGUCAGUCCCUGAAGCAUGGAGCUGAAAUAAGUCACCAUUUAAGACUAAAGGGAAGAGUGCAGAAAAUCUUUUCACACAAAGAUCUCUCAGAGUCUGGCACAUUUUGCCACAAGUGGUUUUACAGAUUUGUACAUCUACAGGACAAUUCCAAAAUUGCAAACCGGAAGACUUUCUGGCUUUGACAAACAUGAUGGCUCCAGCUCCCCGGCACACCAGGUCCUCUCUUCAAUGUCUUGGGAUAGCAAGAUGAGGAGAACACAAUGAUCAUGUGAUUCAAGCAGGCUCUUAUGG